rnacentral:rRNA from 1 species
AGUGAACGCUGGCGGUAGGCCUAACACAUGCAAGUCGAACGGCAGCACAGUAAGAGCUUGCUCUUACGGGUGGCGAGUGGCGGACGGGUGAGGAAUACAUCGGAAUCUACUUUUUCGUGGGGGAUAACGUAGGGAAACAUACGCUACUACCGCAUACGACCUACGGGUGAAUGCAGGGGAUCUUCGGACCUUGCGCGAUUGAUUGAGCCGAUGUCGGAUUAGCUAGUUGGCGGGGUAAAGGCCCACCAAGGCGACGAUACGUAGCCGGUCUGAGAGGAUGAUCAGCCACACUGGAACUGAGACACGGUCCAGACUCCUACGGGAGGCAGCAGUGGGGAAUAUUGGACAAUGGGCGCAAGCCUGAUCCAGCCAUACCGCGUGAGUGAAGAAGGCCUUCGGGUUGUAAAGCCCUUUUGUUGGGAAAGAAAAGCAGCAGGUUAAUACCCCGCUGUUCUGACGGUACCCAAAGAAUAAGCACCGGCUAACUUCGUG